rnacentral:rRNA from 1 species
UACAGAGGGUGCGAGCGUUAAUCGGAAUUACUGGGCGUAAAGCGUGCGUAGACGGUUAUUUAAGUCGGGUGUGAAAGCCCCGGGCUCAACCUGGGAAUUGCAUUCGAGACUGAAUAGCUAGGGUACGGUAGAGGGAAGUGGAAUUUCCGGUGUAGCGGUGAAAUGCGUAGAUAUCGGAAGGAACACCAGUGGCGAAGGCGGCUUCCUGGACCAAUACUGACGCUGAGGUGCGAAAGCGUGGGGAGCAAACAGG